rnacentral:rRNA from 1 species
GGGUUAACGUCCGUAACGAGCGCAACCUGUCCUUAGUUACCAGCACGUUAGUGGUGGGCACUCUAAGGAGACUGCCGGUGACAAACCGGAGGAAGGUGGGGAUGACGUCAAGUCAUCAUGGCCCUUACGGCCUGGGCUACACACGUGCUACAAUGGUCGGUACAAAGGGUUGCCAAGCCGCGAGGUGGAGCUAAUCCCAUAAAACCGAUCGUAGUCCGGAUCGCAGUCUGCAACUCGACUGCGUGAAGUCGGAAUCGCUAGUAAUCGUGAAUCAGAAUGUCACGGUGAAUACGUUCCCGGGCCUU